UACAGAGGGUGCAAGCGUUAAUCGGAAUUACUGGGCGUAAAGCGUGCGUAGACGGUUAUGUAAGUCAGAUGUGAAAGCCCCGGGCUUAACCUGGGAAUGGCAUUUGAGACUGCAUAGCUAGGGUGCGGAAGAGGGAAGCGGAAUUUCCGGUGUAGCGGUGAAAUGCGUAGAUAUCGGAAGGAACACCAGUGGCGAAGGCGGCUCACUGGCCCGGUACUGACGCUGAGGUGCGAAAGCGUGGGGAGCAAACAGG
rnacentral:rRNA from 1 species